CCUAAACCUAGAUAGUUAACCCAAACAAAACUAUCCGCCAGAGAACUACUAGCAACAGCUUAAAACUCAAAGGACUUGGCGGUGCUUUAUAUCCCUCUAGAGGAGCCUGUUCCAUAAUCGAUAAACCCCGAUAAACCUCACCAUCUCUUGCUAAUUCAGCCUAUAUACCGCCAUCUUCAGCAAACCCUAAAAAGGAAGAAAAGUAAGCACAAGUAUCUUAA
rnacentral:rRNA from 1 species